rnacentral:rRNA from 1 species
AGUGAACGCUGGCGGUAGGCCUAACACAUGCAAGUCGAACGGCAGCACAGGAGAGCUUGCUCUCUGGGUGGCGAGUGGCGGACGGGUGAGGAAUACAUCGGAAUCUACUUUUUCGUGGGGGAUAACGUAGGGAGACUUACGCUAAUACCGCAUACGACCUACGGGUGAAAGCAGGGGACCUUCGGGCCUUGCGCGAUUGAAUGAGCCGAUGUCGGAUUAGCUAGUUGGCGGGGUAAAGGCCCACCAAGGCGACGAUCCGUAGCUGGUCUGAGGGGAUGAGCAGCCACACUGGAACUGAGCCACGGUCCAGACUCCUACGGGAGGAAGCAGUGGGGAAUAUUGGACAAUGGGCGCAAGCCUGAUCCAGCCAUACCGCGUGGGUGAAGAAGGCCUUCGGGUUGUAAAGCCCUUUUGUUGGGAAAGAAAUCCAGCUGGCUAAUACCCGGUUGGGAUGACGGUACCCAAAGAAUAAGCACCGGCUAACUUCGUGCCAGCCGCCGCGGUAA